GUUAUUCAAGGAUAGAACAGGCAGCUAUCACGCCCUAGCGGUCUUAAAGAGAUGCCGGAGUGCCACCCGGCUGGAUAAC
ncrna:unclassified sequences skipping-rope RNA